GGCUGCUGUGGCAUAGUGGUUUGAACUCUGGAGUAUGAUUCUGGAGAUCAGGGUUCGAGUCCCUGCUCAGCCA